CGAAAUCCGCCAACCUAUAAAAUCCUUAACAAAGCUCUCGGGGACCGGUCUCUCAGGUAAGGACCGAUCUCCCGAGGACCGAUCUCUCGGGGAGAGACCGGUUCCCGAACGCGUGAUAUCUGGGGAGGCACUGGGGGACCGGUCCCAGACAGGAGAGACCGGUCCCUCGGCGCGCAGACAGCCCAGUAAGGGCAGUGCAUAGAGACAAAAGUUGAGGGGUUUUUAUGCAAAAUGGCAUUAGUUGGAGGGUGAUAAG
rnacentral:lncRNA from 1 species